rnacentral:rRNA from 1 species
CCUACGGGAGGCAGCAGUAAGGGAUAUUGGUCAAUGGAGGAAACCCUGAACCAGCAACGCCGCGUGAAGGAAGACGGUUUUCGGAGUGUAAACCUCUGUCCUCUGUGAAGUUGAUGACGGUAGCAGAGGAGGAAGCUCCGGCUAACUACGUACCAGCAGCCGCCGAAAUACGUAGGGAGCGAGCGGUGUCCGGAUUUACUGGGUGUAAAGUGUGCGUAGGCGGGUUGGCAAGUCAGUAGUGCAAUCCAUGGGCUUAACCCAUGAACUGCUAUUGAAACUGUCGAGCUUGAGUGAAGUAGAGGUAGGCGGAAUUCAUGGUGUAGCGGUGAAAUGCGUAGAGAUCGGGAGGAACACCAGUGGCGAAGGCGGCCUACUGGGCUUUAACUGACGCUGAGGCACGAAAGCGUGGGUAGCAAACAGGAUUAGAUACCCGAGUAGUC